rnacentral:rRNA from 1 species
UGAACGCUGGCGGCGUGCUUAACACAUGCAAGUCGAACGAGAAAGUUCUUUUCGGAGAACGAGUAGAGUGGCGCACGGGUGAGUAACACGUGGAUAAUCUACCUUCAAGCCCGGGAUAACUAUUCGAAAGGAUAGCUAAUACCUGAUAAAGUAUAUGACUUUUAAGGUUAUAUAUGAAAGACAGCCUCUGAUUUAAGCUGUUGCUUGGAGAUGAGUCCGCGCACCAUUAGCUAGUUGGUGGGGUAAAGGCCUACCAAGGCAACGAUGGUUAGCUGGUCUGAGAGGAUGAUCAGCCACACUGGAACUGGAACACGGUCCAGACUCCUACGGGAGGCAGCAGUGAGGGAUUUUGCGCAAUGGGGGAAACCCUGACGCAGCAACGCCGCGUGAGUGAAGAAGGUCUUUGGGUCGUAAAGCUCUGUCAACAGGGAAGAAGUUACUAAUGUUUAAUAGAUGUUAGUAUUGACGGUACCUGUGAAGGAAGCACCGGCUAACUCC